GAGGAAUAUUGGUCAAUGGGCGAGAGCCUGAACCAGCCAAGUAGCGUGCAGGAAGACGGCCCUAUGGGUUGUAAACUGCUUUUAUGUGGGGAUAAAGUGAGCUACGUGUAGUUUAUUGCAGGUACCACAUGAAUAAGGACCGGCUAAUUCCGUGCCAGCAGCCGCGGUAAUACGGAAGGUCCAGGCGCUAUCCGGAUUUAUUGGGUUUAAAGGGAGCGUAGGCCGUGGAUUAAGCGUGUUGUGAAAUGUAGACGCUCAACGUCUGAAUUGCAGCGCGAACUGGUUCACUUGAGUAUGCACAACGUAGGCGGAAUUCGUCGUGUAGCGGUGAAAUGCUUAGAUAUGACGAAGAACUCCGAUUGCGAAGGCAGCUUACGGGAGCACAACUGACGCUGAAGCUCGAAGGUGCGGGUAUCAAACAGGAUUAGAUACCCUGGUAGUCCGCAUAGUAAACGAUGGAUGCCCGUUGUUAGUUCACUUAAGAAUUAGCGACCAAGCGAAAGCAUUAAGCAUCCCACCUGGGGAGUACGCCGGCAACGGUG
rnacentral:rRNA from 1 species